UGUGGGAAGAUGCAGCCUUGUCUCUUACUGCACAGGCUCUCGAGAGGGACGGCAGUAAGGUGGCACUGAGCACCCCCGUCGAGCCCAGCUCUGGGUUUCCAUUUUUAAUUUUGGAAACACCUCUGCUAUCUUCAAAGCUGAAUUAUCUCAGAAGUUCUCAUCUGAUUCACCUGGACUUUCUCCAAAGCGAGUGGAACAAGGCCACAAAAGAAUGGUAUAUUACAGAUUUACAAACAAAGACUCUCUCUUUCCAACCAAACUGUAGAGAAGCUGGCUCUGUGAAGAAACAUCACCAUGCAACAUAAUGGUGAGUUCAGUUUAGUUUCCUUCUGCCUCCCCCCAACCCUUUGGCUUUUGUGACAUAUUUGUGUCUAAUAUGUUUUACUGGACAUACCACAUUAAAUCUUUAUUGCCCUCAACUCCAUUUACCUAUCUCAGAU